CAGUCGCCGCGGGAAUACGUAGGUGGCAAGCGUUGUCCGGAAUUAUUGGGCGUAAAGCGCGCGCAGGUGGUUUAAUAAGUCUGAUGUGAAAGCCCACGGCUCAACCGUGGAGGGUCAUUGGAGACUGUUAAACUUGAGUGCAGGAGAGAAAAGUGGAAUUCCUAGUGUAGCGGUGAAAUGCGUAGAGAUUAGGAGGAACACCAGUGGCGAAGGCGGCUUUUUGGCCUGUAACUGACACUGAGGCGCGAAAGCGUGGGGAGCAAACAGGAUUAGAUACCCCUGUAGUCCCUGUCUCUUAUAC
rnacentral:rRNA from 1 species